ACAACUCGGGGUGGUUCUCAUUCUAGCAGCCCCCUAUAUAUAUAUAUAUAUAUAUAUAUAUAUAUAUAUAUAUAUAUAUAUAUAUAUAUAUAUAUAUAUAUAGGGGGCUGCUAGAAUGAGAACCACCCCGAGUUGU
rnacentral:miRNA from 1 species